AUUGAACGCUGGCGGCAUGCCUUACACAUGCAAGUCGAACGGCAGCGGACCUUCGGGUGCCGGCGAGUGGCGAACGGGUGAGUAAUAUAUCGGAACGUACCUUUCAGUGGGGGAGUAACGUAGCGAAAGUUACGCUAAUACCGCAUAUUCUGUGAGCAGGAAAGCAGGGGAUCGCAAGACCUUGCGCUGAUUGAGCGGCCGAUAUCAGAUUAGCUAGUUGGUGAGGUAAAGGACUCACCAAGGCGACGAUCUGUAGCGGGUCUGAGAGGAUGAUCCGCCACACUGGAACUGAGACACGGUCCAGACUCCUACGGGAGGCAGCAGUGGGGAA
rnacentral:rRNA from 1 species